rnacentral:miRNA from 1 species
GAAUAACCGAAGGAUUUGGAGG